UUAUUUAUUAGGUCUUCAGACAGGAGAAGGCAGCAGAAAGAGAGAGGGAGGAAUGGAGAACAAGAGAGAGGAAACUCGCCAAGAUCCGCAUCUUUACCUCGACAUCGGCCUCAAACUGAUCCAACGACUAAUUCGGAGCUUGUCCAAUCUGAGCCACGACCAUCAACUUUAAGACAUGUCCUGAUGUCCCCUAUGACAUCACGAGGAAGAGGACAAACCAGAGGAUUUGGAAGUCACAAAGAGGACAGUACAUCAGGCAGAUCUGACAAUAGAGAUGAAACCGAAUCAAGCCGAGGACCAGAACCUGCCUGCCCACAUUGCAUGUCAGACCGCACUGGUUCCUUGACACGUCCAGUGAGGAGUAGGAGCUCUUCACAUCUCUCACAGCCUUCCUGCAGCCAUUGCCCAUUGUGUGGUGCAUUACAAGCCAAUAAAAGGGCCUCUCAACCAGCCAAUCAGGAGCCAGUCUCCACCCCCAGAGGGAGUCGGCCAAUGAGAUCCUCCUUACAGAGGGACAGAGGAGGUGUGAAUGUGGCUCCUCCCCCCAAAGUUCUGGGAGGUGUUCCAGUUGUCCCAUAUGUGCCCGUCUAUCCUUCAACUCUUUACUUCUCCGGUCCUGUGACGUCACAGGCCUACUCACAACCCUUUAACAUCUCAGUCAGUCCUGUCAGAGAUGAGAGGCCAGGGGUCAGAGGUCAUCGCAGACGAUCGGUCUCUUUGGACCAUCAGCAGCACACUCUAGACAGCUCUCUGACCCGUGCCAUCACGGCAGCUAAAAACAUGAGAGAGGUCUCGCAUCGCAUGGCUCACUCUCUGACCUCAGGACUGCACAGCAGUAGCUUCCUCACCUCAUCCUGCACCUACUGACAUCAGCGUUUACAUCUGUUCAUUUAGCAGACGCUUUUAUCCAAAGCGACAUUUAUUCAUUUUUAUUAGUUUACAAAAACAACUGUUUUUCUCGUAGUGGUGUGACUGAUGCAGACAUGCAAUGCUGCAGUGGAAAAUGAUGGAAAAUGUGAGAUGUCUCAGGUGUGCUGUAGCUACUGUUAGAGCUGAUAGCUGCAUUAUGGCAGCUUAAACAUUCUAAGUUUGUACAUACAGUGACCCCUAAAAAUAUUAGACCAAUCUUAGGCCACACUUAAAGAUGUAUACAUUUUAGGUUUUAAAAAACCAUAAAUAUACUGUUCAAAAUGGAGUUUACAUUAGAACAUGUUUAUAGCUGUGAUGAAAUACACUAUGCUAGGGCACCUGUGUGAAUUUGAGGACUUCAUAUAUCCACUAAAAGCAUUUGUUUUGGAGAGUCAGUUGUCUGUUUUUUGUUACAUAAUGCCAAGACAUUAAUGCAUGUUUAAGUGUGGUUUAAAUGUCCAAAUACUUUUGGGUCCACUGUAGUACACCUUUUUCUGGAAAAUCCAAAUAAUGUAACAGAUUUAUAUGUACUUUCACAGUGUGAAGGUGAACCGGUUUUGUUUAUAAAUCUGUCAGUGACAGGUUUUUAAAUCUUCAUUUUUUUCUAAUAGGGAGAAAAUGGGUAUAGUGCUACUCUAGAGUUUUUAUUUAUAUUACCAUACUUUUGUGCUGUAUUUGUUUACUUAGAAUUUCCAAACGGCAUAACCUUUUUAAUGUAAAGGCAUGUGUGACAUGGUUUUCUACCCCACAGUCAAAAUAAGCAGUUUGAUUGAGUGGAGUAUAUAGAGUCCAGCAUACUUUAAGUCCUAGAAGAGUCUGUAGCAGCAUUGAGGUCAGUGUGAAAAGAACAGCAUGCAUUUCACGUUGUGGAAACAAAAACGGAUUAGUUAUUAGUGUAAGUUUUUAUAGGUUAUGCAAUAUUGAUUAUUUUGGGCAUCACCUGGUUAGGCAAAUUUAAUUAAUUAUAAUGUUUCUGUCAU
rnacentral:lncRNA from 1 species